UAAACAAAAAAAAAGAAAGAAAAAGAAGUGGGUCUCUUUCAACUUCAGCGGCUUUCGUUUGUACUUCCUCCGGCAGCACGUAGUGUCUCCAGCGCUCUUUACAAGUCGCAACCAUCUUCUCCUCUUCAAACUUCAAUUCCAAGAUGGUCUAUUGCUCCAACCUCCACCAACGUUGUGCUCUAUUACUCGUAGGUGAGUUCCUCCCACUCCGCCAAGUCCCAUCAUCACCGUGACCUUAGUCCCUCGCCACCGACUCCUCCAAGCUUCGAUUUCAGUCAACCAUGGAUGAUGAUGGAUUGAGUAGAUUUCAAUCAACCAUGGAUGAUUUAUCCAUCGAAUCUACUUGAACUUUUCAAUUAUGCAGAAGAUGUAUGGGCUUUGUUUAGUUUUUCGGCCUAAAGUUAUGUUGAAGAGACCCAAACCAUAAGAGAGUCUACGUGAUCAUCGUAACCUGCGCUUCUCCUUCUCCGCCAUUACCAGAGAUUGCCAUCGAGAAGAAUCUCCUCCUAGGGUUUUCACGACAUCGUUUGCUCUUCUCUUAAUCAACUGAAACACCCACAGUUACAGAUCCAUCGCGUUAAACGCCUCUUUAAUCCAUCAACCACGAUGGAUCUUUAUUGCAAGUCUCUUUUCUCCAGGGCGAUCUAUUUGUUAGUAUACAUAGGUAUGCCUUACUCCUCCAGAAUCCCUUAAUUUUCUUCUUCCCUUUUUGAUUUCAUCAACGUAUAUUCAAUUUCUAUUUUUCUAUCUAAUUGUAUGUGCAAACAAAUAUUCCCAAUUGUAAAGAGAACCCCCAAUUUGAAAAAGGUUUUCAGGCGAUGAAUGAUCUCCGGCCAUAACAAAGGUUUGUAGGUUUUCAUGUGUUUCUGAAGAAUAUUGUUUUAUUUGACAUGUGUGGUCGAUCUUUGUUACAAUGUGUUUGCUCCUGGACACCAUCAAAUAAAUUUUGUAUGUACUGAUGUUUCCCACUAACUAAAAUCAUUUUUUCUUAUUUCUUUUGGAAUUGUAAACUAACGACAGUUGCUGGUAUGCUUUUUGCAUUAAAGAUCGUUUCUCCAUAAAAUCUUAGACUAUGAAGACGAGUUCUUUGCUGCUCUGAUGCUUAUCCUUGAAGGACAUAGCUUAAGAACCACAAGUUAGAUUUUGGGAUCAAUGUGUUUGGAUUGGAGUAGUGUCACUGUGUGUUAAUGUUUAGUUUUUUUAAUGAAUUGUUUGCAGAUGUUUUGUUUGCUGAAUCAUUGUAUGGUUUGAGGAGAAAGUCAAUUAGGUUGAGAUUACGCAAAGGUUCCAGUAAAGAAGUUCAACGUUUUGGUUUAGAGAAACGCCAAAGAGUCUCUCUGUUUUUUUUCUGGUUGUGUUACAGUAUUUUAUAUCAAAGUUGCAUGGUAUAUAUAACAAGGAAAGGGAAGCGAUGCUCUGGGAGAGUUUAUGGGGAUCAGAGGAUCAAGGGUUUGAUGAAGCUAACUUCUUUACAGGAGAGGAAACCGUUGUUUCAAGAGGGGAUAGUGGGAAUCAUGCGCUUUCUCUUCGAGUACAGUUAGCUACGAGAAUUAAGAAGUUUGUAGCUGUGUGCUAUCUUUGGAUAGAUGUAUCAAGUGAAGGUAGUUUCUGAUUUAUGUAGAGCACGAGUGUUUUGUAUAAUAGCUAUUAUGAUUCUUUCUAAUAGUUAGGUUGAGCUUCAUGCCUAGAGUUGGUAAUCUUGAUGUUCUAAAUUGAAACCACAUUCCGUGCUUUUAGUCCAUUUCUGGAUGGUUAUGAGUAAUAUACUCUAAGCAUGUGUUUGAUUUAUA